GAUGAACGCUAGCGGCAGGCCUAACACAUGCAAGUCGAGGGGGAGGUUACUUUCGGGUAACUGAGACCGGCGUACGGGUGCGUAACGCGUAUACAAUCUGCCUUUCACUGGGGGAUAGCCCGAAGAAAUUUGGAUUAAUACCCCAUAGUAUAGUAAUACGGCAUCGUGAUGCUAUUAAAGCUUAGGUGGUGAAAGAUGAGUAUGCGUUCUAUUAGCUAGUUGGAGAGGCAACGGCUCCCCAAGGCGAUGAUAGAUAGGGGUUCUGAGAGGGAUGUCCCCCACACUGGUACUGAGAUACGGACCAGACUGCUACGGGAGGCAGCAGUGAGGAAUAGUGGACAAUGGUCGGAAGACUGAUCCAGCCAUGCCGCGUGCAGGAUGAAGGUCUUAUGGAUUGUAAACUGCUUUUGUAAGGGAAGAAUAAGGGCUACGCGUAGUUUGAUGACGGUACCUUACGAAUAAGCAUCGGCUAACUCCGUG
rnacentral:rRNA from 1 species